GAUGAACGCUGGCGGCGUGCCUAAUACAUGCAAGUCGAGCGAACAGACGCGGCUCUUGCUCCUCUGACGUUUGCGGCGGACGGGUGUGUAACACGUGUAUCACCUACCUAUAUUUCUGGGAUCUCUUCGGGACACCGGCUCUAAUCCCGUAUAAUAUCUUGAACCGCAUGGUUCAAUAGUGAAAGACGGCUUUGCUGUCACUUAUCGAUGGAUCCGCGCCGCAUUAGCUAGUUGGUACGUUAACGGCUUACCAAGGCAACGAUGCGUAGCCGACGUAAGAGGGUGAUCGGCCACACGGGAACUGAGACACGGUCAAGACUCCUAAGAGAGGCAGCAGUAGGGAAUCGGACGCAAUGGGCGAAAGCAUGACGGAGCAACGCCGAGUGAGUGAUGAAGGUCUUCGGAGCGUAAAACUCUGUUAUGAGGGAAGAACAAAUGUGGAAGGAAAUAUGCACGGAUUGACGGUAACGAAUAAGAAAGCAACGGCUAACUACGUG
rnacentral:rRNA from 1 species